GCCGCGAGAACGCGUGCUCUCGCCGUGCUGAGUUUUUCCGAGAGCCCGAGGCACAGGACUGACAUGCGUCGGGGUCUUUUAAAAAAAAAAUGACUGAAGUGCCGUUGAAUGUGCCAUGUCGUGUCAGUUUCUGCGGUACAGCAAAGUCACCCAGUCGUACGUUCAUAGACACCCUUUUUCUCAAAUUAUCUUCCCUCACAGUCUAUCACGAGAGACUGGACCUCAUUCCCUGGGCUGUACAGCGGGACCUCACUGCUUCUCCCACAGCAAGAGAAGAGACCCCAGACUUCUCAAGUGAUGUUUCCGAGGCGCUGCUCGAGCCGACGCGGGCCGGCCCGGCAGGUGCUUCUUGGAGCCGGUUCUCACGCUGACCGUGCAGCCCUCACUACCCUUGGGAAGGUGCAUUGAUGGGCAUCCGUAAAGACUGGGUCUGCCUCUCCCAGUCCAACAGGAAAGGCAAUGAGGCAGCCAUCGGAGAUCUGCAGGUACACAUAAAUACAGGAGAUUUUAAAGCCAUUCUGGAAUAUGCACUGGCCCCUCCCACGUAGUCUCUUGACACUUGGCCGGCGGACCCCGUCUUUGCUCUGUGCCACCCAGAGAGAGCCCACGAAGUCCUCCACGGUUUAUUUCUCCCGUUGGUGAGCGCUGGCUCAUGUUUGCGCAGCAAAGCUCAGCGUCUUGCUGUAACAGCCUCUGGGGCUGCGUGCCCACCAGCCCUCCUUGGAGGAGAGCGCCCGGUCCUGGCUGGGCCGCCCAGAGCACAUGCAGAAGGUCAAGCUCGCAGCGCAGAACCCUAGUUCCAGGGGCAGUGGUUACUUCGGAGGACAGGUAACUUCGAUCACCUUACAUGAAGGUCUGAAGGUCAGCAGGCCCCGCAGGUAGCCUUCGUGUUUAAGAGGCCGGGACCAAAGGUGAAGCCUGCCAGCAACACCAGAGUUGCAUCCCACACUCAGUCCGGCUUGCAAUCGGAGGGCAGGCACGUCACAAUUCUGGUGGAAAGGAUCCAAGAACCCCUGCCUGCUGGACCUGCAGACAGACUCAGAUUCUCCAGGACGAGGCCCCUGCGGAAAGAUGGUGGGAGGAGAGAAGGUGAACUUGGUCCCGGGACUGCAUCAGGAAAAUUCAGUCUCCCGGGUUCUUGCCCGAGACCUGCCCGCCGGACCCUCUGGAUCACCAUGACAACCAGAAAACGCCUCCUCCCCAUCAGCAGGCCCUGGAACGGACCCCCGCACCCACGGAAACUAGCAUCCCAACUGACCACACUUGGUAGAGGGUGCAACAUAAGAUCGUCUUGCUUCUGUGUCCAGACUAUGGCUCCCCGGGCUCGUUCGGAACACUGGAAGAAGGGCCUCUGUCUCUCCCUGCCACGGACGCUGCCAGGACAGUGCCAAUCAGGAGUGGAAAAGAUGUACCGAGAAAGGAUCCGUGCACGUCGUCGACUCGGAGCUGACCUGUGUCACCUGGAGGAUGCUGCCGAAAGUAACCAUGCGUCACCUCCGAGGUCCCGUCGUGGAAGACCUCAAACAACAGGGAUCCUGGGAGUUUGGGGAAAGGAAACUCUCCGAAGGCAUCUGAAGGAAGGAGAAAACACAGGAAGUACUGGCGAAAAGAUGUGAGACCCUCCUGUAAACGUUCCUGAGUCACAUGCAGGCGGCAUCCCCUUUUUUCCUUCCCUGGAGCAGAAGCAGCAGACAGACUCUCAGGAAGACAUCCUGUAUGUGGCCCAUUCUCCGCAGUCAGGACAUCUUGAGCCGUGCGUUGCUCUCUGCUGUACCUUCCAGCCCUGGGGCCUCUGACAUUUACUUUCCUAGUGUGUCCAACGCUCCGAUUUCUUUGAGGAGGGCCCAGCUGUGCUCCAAAGUGCGCUGCAGAAGAAACUACGCUGAAUUCUCUAUGAAGGAGGCAUUUUUCUUCCCCCCGUUCUACAAGAUGGAGAAACCGUGGAUCAGAGGAGUUAAGCAAAUCACCGAGGCCACACAGCUGGUAAGGGGCAGCCCAGGGAUUUCAACCCAGGCACCAUGGGUUCAGCAU
rnacentral:lncRNA from 9 species